rnacentral:piRNA from 1 species
UACACUUCAGUGUGAGAGCUCAGUGUUGC